CCUACGGGUGGCAGCAGUAGGGAAUAUUGGACAAUGGGGGGAACCCUGAUCCAGCGACGCCGCGUGAGUGAAGAAGUACUUCGGUAUGUAAAGCUCUAUCAUCAGGGAAGAAAAUGACGGUACCUGACUAAUAAGCCCCUGCUAACUACGUGCCAGCAGCCGCUGUCAGACAUAGGGGGCAAGCGUUAUCCGGAUAUACUGGGUCGAAAGUCAUCGUAGAUUGUUAUACAAAUCUGAAGUGAAAGCCCGGGGCUCAAACCCGGGACUGCUUUGGAAACUGGCUGACUGGAGUGCUGGAGAGGCAAGCGGAAUUCCAAGUGAAGCGGUGAAAUGCGUAGAUAUUAGGAAGAACACCAGAGGCGAAGGCGGCUUGCUGGACAGUAACUGACGUUGAGGGUCGAAAGCGUGGGGAGCAAACAGGAUUAGAUACCCCAGUAGUC
rnacentral:rRNA from 1 species